AUUAUCGAAUAUAAACUUGGGUAGACUGUUGCUGGCUUCUCUUCGAGGAGCAUGUGCACGUUUAUCCUCUUUAUUUUUCCACCUGUGCACCUUUUGUAGGCUUGGAAUUAUUUUAAUAGUGUCUUUUCCCAAAGGCAUAAGAAUUUUUUUGGGACUGCUGUGUUUAAACGCAUGUUUAUCGGCUUUCCCUUUUAUUUUUCCAAGUCUAUGUUUUUCAUAUACACUCCAGAAAUUUGAUAGAAUGCUGUACUUGUAGGUCAUACCUAUAAUAAAAUCAGUACAACUUUCAGCAACGGAUCUCUUGGCUCUCGCAUCGAUGAAGAACGCAGCGAAAUGCGAUAAGUAAUGUGAAUUGCAGAAUUCAGUGAAUCAUCGAAUCUUUGAACGCAUCUUGCGCUCCUUGGUAUUCCGAGGAGCAUGCCUGUUUGAGUAUCAUUAAAUUAUCAACUGUGCCAAUUAUUUUGGUUUACAGAUUGGAUGUGGGGGGGAUUUUGCAGGCUUUUUAUUGAGUCUGCUCUCCUGAAAUGUAUUAGCAGUGCCUUUGUUGGUUUCCUUGGGUGUGAUAAUUUAUCUACAUCUUUACAUGGUACCUUCAUUUGUAAAGGUCAUAUUGCUUCCAAUUGUCUUUGGACGGAAUUAUGAAACUUGAUCUCAAAUCAGGCAGGACUACCCGCUGAACUUAAGCAUAUCA
rnacentral:rRNA from 1 species